rnacentral:rRNA from 1 species
UACGAAGGGGGCUAGCGUUGCUCGGAAUUACUGGGCGUAAAGCGCACGUAGGCGGCUCCUUAAGUCGGGGGUGAAAUCCUGGAGCUCAACUCCAGAACUGCCUUCGAUACUGUAGAGCUUGAGUUCGGGAGGGGUGAGUGGAACUGCGAGUGUAGAGGUGAAAUUCGUAGAUAUUCGCAAGAACACCAGUGGCGAAGGCGGCUCACUGGCCCGAUACUGACGCUGAGGUGCGAAAGCGUGGGGAGCAAACAGG